GACGAACGCUGGCGGCGUGCUUAACACAUGCAAGUCGAACGGAAAGGCCCUUCGUGGUACACGUGCGGCGAACGGGAGCGUAACGCUUGAGUAACCUUCCCCUCACCCUGGGUUAACAGUUGGAACCGGCUGCUAAUACUGGUACCUCAGCUCCUCUCGUACGGCGGGGGUUGGAUUGUAUUGGUGGUGGGGGAUGGGCUCGCGUCCUAUCAGCUUGUUGGUGGGGUGAUGGCCUACCAAGGCGUCGACGGGUAGCCGGCCUGAGAGGGCGACCGGCCACAUUGGGACUGAGAUACGGCCCAGACUCCUACGGGAGGCAGCAGUGGGGAAUAUUGCACAAUGGGCGGAAGCCUGAUGCAGCAACGCCGCGUGCGGGAUGACGGCCUUCGGGUUGUAAACCGCUUUCAGCAGGGACGAAGCGCAAGUGACGGUACCUGCAGAAGAAGCACCGGCUAACUACGUG
rnacentral:rRNA from 1 species